AUUGAACGCUGGCGGCAUGCCUUACACAUGCAAGUCGAACGGCAGCACGGGAGCAAUCCUGGUGGCGAGUGGCGAACGGGUGAGUAAAGUAUCGGAACGUGCCCAGUCGUGGGGGAUAACGUAGCGAAAGUUACGCUAAUACCGCAUACGAUCUAUGGAUGAAAGCGGGGGAUCGCAAGACCUCGCGCGAUUGGAGCGGCCGAUAUCAGAUUAGGUAGUUGGUGGGGUAAAGGCCCACCAAGCCGACGAUCUGUAGCUGGUCUGAGAGGACGACGAGCAUAACUGGGACGGAGACACGGCCCAGACUCCUACGGGAGGCAGCAGUGGGGAAUGUUGGACAAUGGGCGAAAGCCUGAUCCAGCAAGGCCGCGUGCAGGAUGAAGGCCGUCGGGUUGUAAACUGCUUUUGUACGGAACGAAAAGGACUGCCCUAAUACGGUGGUCCCAUGACGGUACCGUAAGAAUAAGCACCGGCUAACUACGUGCCAGCCGCCGCGGUAA
rnacentral:rRNA from 1 species